UACGAAGGGGGCUAGCGUUGUUCGGAAUUACUGGGCGUAAAGCGUGCGCAGGCGGCUUCUCAAGUCAGGGGUGAAAGCCCAGAGCUCAACUCUGGAACUGCCUUUGAGACUGAGUGGCUUGAGUACGAGAGAGGUGAGUGGAAUUCCCAGUGUAGAGGUGAAAUUCGUAGAUAUUGGGAAGAACACCGGUGGCGAAGGCGGCGACCUGGUCCUUGACUGACGCUGAGGCGCGAAAGCGUGGGGAGCAAACAGG
rnacentral:rRNA from 1 species